CAGCCGCCGCGGUAAUACGAAGGGGGCUAGCGUUGUUCGGAAUCACUGGGCGUAAAGAGCACGUAGGCGGAUCUUUAAGUCAGAGGUGAAAUCCCGAGGCUCAACCUCGGAACUGCCUUUGAUACUGGGGAUCUCGAGUCCGGGAGAGGUGAGUGGAACUGCGAGUGUAGAAGUGAAAUUCGUAGAUAUUCGGAAGAACACCAGUGGCGAAGGCGACACACUGGCUCAUUACUGACGCUGAGGCUCGAAAGCGUGGGGAGCAAACAGGAUUAGAUACCCCUGUAGUCCCUGUCUCUUAUAC
rnacentral:rRNA from 1 species